rnacentral:lncRNA from 1 species
AUGGGGAGGGGCGCCCCUGGCAAGGGCCCCACCCUGCGCCAGGAGCGGAGGAGAAGAGGUGCCAUUGGCCAGAUGGGGAAACUGAGGCGAGCAGGGAGGGACUUGCCCAGGGUCAGCCCCUUCCAGCCCACACCCAAGGGUUACGACUCGAGGAUUCCAAAAACGCCCUCAGCCGAGGGUCUCGAAGCCCCGGAGGGUCGGACUCUGCAUCUGUCCAAUGGGGGCAGCCUCCCAGGGAAGUCUGGGAACUGCGCUCCGCUCCCUCCGCCAGGGGACCUCCAAGCCCUUCCCAGUGCCAGAGCCUGUCAGGGUCUCAGCAGCCCAGCAGGGGCCGCUGCGGGACCAGACUACCCUCCCUUGCGCGGAGAUACACCAAAGCGGGAUUGGGGGAAGGCGGGGUGGGGGGGAGAGUGUUUCGAGCCAGACUGCGCCUGUACAAAGUCCACACGCCGGGAGGAGCCCAAAGGGAGGCUUAUAUACCCUCGGGCUGACCAUGGAGCUCCCCGAGGGUCAGUGCGGCUAUCGCACAAGCUUCCUUGGCCCAGGACGGGUGCUCAUCUUGGUGUGGUUCACGCAGGCUUCCUUGGCCCAGUCCCCUUUCAUUCCACACUUUUCUUUUCCAGCGGCCUGGGGUCCCCAGACUUUUACUCGGGGGCCCUCGUGGGGUCCCCGGACUUUUACUCGGGGGCCCUCGUGGGGUCCCCGGACUUUUACUGGAGGGCUCUCGUGGGGUCCCCGGACUUUUACUCGGGGGCCCUCGUGGGGUCCCCGGACUUUUACUGGAGGGCUCUCGUGGGGUCCCCGGACUUUUACUCGGGGGCCCUCGUGGGGUCCCCGGACUUUUACUGGAGGGCCCUCGUGGGGUCCCCGGACUUUUACUCGGGGGCCCUCGUGGGGUCCCCGGACUUUUACACGGGGGCCCUCGUGGGGUCCCCGGACUUUUACUGGAGGGCCCUCGUGGGUAGGGUCCGCAGUUGUUGGGUGAUUCCCAUGGCCGGGGGUGGUUGGGCCUGUGAACCUUUGGGCAGUGCCUGCGCUAGGAGGAGCGGUACCUGUCUUCUAAGGAGGCUGAGUAUCCGGGUGACCAGGGGUGGGCCCCCAAUAAGUAGGAGUAGGACGACGAGUGAGACGCCCCCGAUCGUGACAGUGAGGCUGGUCAGCCGUGGGGAGAACUCGAACCAUCCGGGGGAGGACAGUGUAGCCCACGGGUUAGACUCCCUUCCUCUCUGCCUCCUCUCAAGGUUCUCCUGA